AAAUUGAAGAGUUUGAUCAUGGCUCAGAUUGAACGCUGGCGGCAGGCCUAACACAUGCAAGUCGAACGGUAACAGGAAGCAGCUUGCUGCUUCGCUGACGAGUGGCGGACGGGUGAGUAAUGUCUGGGAAACUGCCUGAUGGAGGGGGAUAACUACUGGAAACGGUGGCUAAUACCGCAUAACGUCGCAAGACCAAAGAGGGGGACCUUCGGGCCUCUUGCCUCAGCCAUCAGAUGUGCCCAGAUGGGAUUAGCUUGUUGGUGAGGUAACGGCUCACCAAGGCGACGAUCCCUAGCUGGUCUGAGAGGAUGACCAGCCACACUGGAACUGAGACACGGUCCAGACUCCUACGGGAGGCAGCAGUGGGGAAUAUUGCACAAUGGGCGCAAGCCUGAUGCAGCCAUGCCGCGUGUAUGAAGAAGGCCUUCGGGUUGUAAAGUACUUUCAGCGGGGAGGAAGGUGUUGUGGUUAAUAACCGCAGCAAUUGACGUUACCCGCAGAAGAAGCACCGGCUAACUCCGUGCCAGCAGCCGCGGUAAUACGGAGGGUGCAAGCGUUAAUCGGAAUUACUGGGCGUAAAGCGCACGCAGGCGGUCUGUCAAGUCGGAUGUGAAAUCCCCGGGCUCAACCUGGGAACUGCAUUCGAAACUGGCAGGCUUGAGUCUUGUAGAGGGGGGUAGAAUUCCAGGUGUAGCGGUGAAAUGCGUAGAGAUCUGGAGGAAUACCGGUGGCGAAGGCGGCCCCCUGGACAAAGACUGACGCUCAGGUGCGAAAGCGUGGGGAGCAAACAGGAUUAGAUACCCUGGUAGUCCACGCCGUAAACGAUGUCUACUUGGAGGUUGUGCCCUUGAGGCGUGGCUUCCGGAGCUAACGCGUUAAGUAGACCGCCUGGGGAGUACGGCCGCAAGGUUAAAACUCAAAUGAAUUGACGGGGGCCCGCACAAGCGGUGGAGCAUGUGGUUUAAUUCGAUGCAACGCGAAGAACCUUACCUGGUCUUGACAUCCACAGAACUUUCCAGAGAUGGAUUGGUGCCUUCGGGAACUGUGAGACAGGUGCUGCAUGGCUGUCGUCAGCUCGUGUUGUGAAAUGUUGGGUUAAGUCCCGCAACGAGCGCAACCCUUAUCCUUUGUUGCCAGCGGUCCGGCCGGGAACUCAAAGGAGACUGCCAGUGAUAAACUGGAGGAAGGUGGGGAUGACGUCAAGUCAUCAUGGCCCUUACGACCAGGGCUACACACGUGCUACAAUGGCGCAUACAAAGAGAAGCGACCUCGCGAGAGCAAGCGGACCUCAUAAAGUGCGUCGUAGUCCGGAUUGGAGUCUGCAACUCGACUCCAUGAAGUCGGAAUCGCUAGUAAUCGUGGAUCAGAAUGCCACGGUGAAUACGUUCCCGGGCCUUGUACACACCGCCCGUCACACCAUGGGAGUGGGUUGCAAAAGAAGUAGGUAGCUUAACCUUCGGGAGGGCGCUUACCACUUUGUGAUUCAUGACUGGGGUGAAGUCGUAACAAGGUAACCGUAGGGGAACCUGCGGUUGGAUCACCUCCUUA
rnacentral:rRNA from 1 species